AGGAUUUACUAAUGUCUCCUAUUUCUCGACUUAAUGAUGGUGGCAAGGCAGCCCAAGCCCAUGUGGGGAUAGGUGAUGUGGUUCUCACCAUUGAUGGGAUAAGCACAGAUGGGAUGACUCAUCU